rnacentral:rRNA from 1 species
AGACUUUGAUUAUGGCUCAGAUUGAACGCUGGCGGCAGGCCUAACACAUGCAAGUCGAGCGGCAGCGGGUCCUUCGGGAUGCCGGCGAGCGGCGGACGGGUGAGUAAUGCCUAGGAAUCUGCCUGGUAGUGGGGGAUAACUCGGGGAAACUCGAGCUAAUACCGCAUACGUCCUACGGGAGAAAGCGGGGGAUCUUCGGACCUCGCGCUACCAGAUGAGCCUAGGUCGGAUUAGCUAGUUGGUGAGGUAAAGGCUCACCAAGGCGACGAUCCGUAGCUGGUCUGAGAGGAUGAUCAGCCACACUGGAACUGAGACACGGUCCAGACUCCUACGGGAGGCAGCAGUGGGGAAUAUUGGACAAUGGGCGAAAGCCUGAUCCAGCCAUGCCGCGUGUGUGAAGAAGGUCUUCGGAUUGUAAAGCACUUUAAGUUGGGAGGAAGGGCAGUAAGCUAAUACCUUGCUGUUUUGACGUUACCGACAGAAUAAGCACCGGCUAACUUCGUGCCAGCAGCCCGCGGUAAUACGAAGGGUGCAAGCGUUAAUCGGAAUUACUGGGCGUAAAGCGCGCGUAGGUGGUUUGAUAAGUUGGAUGUGAAAGCCCGGGCUCAACCUGGG